UCUGUCUAGAGUGGUUUUGAACGUA
rnacentral:piRNA from 1 species